CAGCAGCCCGAGUGGUGAUCGCUAUUAUUGGGCCUAAAGCGUCCGUAGCCGGGUUGGUAAACCCUUGGGUAAAUCGUCCAGCUUAACUGAACGAAUUCCGAGGAGACUGCCAACCUUGGGACCGGGAGAGGUCGGAGGUACUCCAGGGGUAGGGGUGAAAUCCUGUAAUCCUUGGGGGACCACCGGUGGCGAAGGCGUCCGACUAGAACGGGUCCGACGGUAAGGGACGAAGCCCUGGGUCGCAAACCGGAUUAGAUACCCGAGUAGUCC
rnacentral:rRNA from 1 species